rnacentral:ncRNA from 1 species
GACGAGUCAGAAACCGUUGAUGUAGGCGAAGGACAUGCGAAAGGUCCGGCGUAGAGGGUAAGACCCCCGUAGUCGAAACGUCAGCGGCUCGUUGGAGAGACACCCAAGUAGCACGGGGCCCGAGAAAUCCCGUGUGAAUCUGGCGGGACCACCCGCUAAGCCUAAAUAUUCCCUGGUGACCGAUAGCGGAUAGUACCGUGAGGGAAUGGUGAAAAGUACCGCGGGAGCGGAGUGAAAUAGUACCUGAAACCGUGUGCCUACAAGCCGUGGGAGCGUCGCGCAAGGACUUGUCCUUGCGUCGUGACUGCGUGCCUUUUGAAGAAUGAGCCUGCGAGUUUGCGGUGUGUUGCGAGGUUAACCCGGGUGGGGAAGCCGUAGCGAAAGCGAGUCCGAACAGGGCGUUUUUAGUAGCACGCUCAAGACCCGAAGCGGAGUGAUCUAGCCAUGGGCAGGUUGAAGCGGAGGUAAGACUUCGUGGAGGACCGAACCCACCAGGGUUGAAAACCUGGGGGAUGACCUGUGGUUAGGGGUGAAAGGCCAAUCAAACUCCGUGAUAGCUGGUUCUCCCCGAAAUGCAUUUAGGUGCAGCGUCGUGUGUUUCUUGCCGGAGGUAGAGCACUGGAUAGGCGAUGGGCCCUACCGGGUUACUGACCUUAGCCAAACUCCGAAUGCCGGUAAGUGAGAGCGCGGCAGUGAGACUGUGGGGGAUAAGCUCCAUGGUCGAGAGGGAAACAGCCCAGAGCAUCGACUAAGGCCCCUAAGCGUACGCUAAGUGGGAAAGGAUGUGGAGUCGCAGAGACAACCAGGAGGUUGGCUUAGAAGCAGCCACCCUUGAAAGAGUGCGUAAUAGCUCACUGGUCUAGUGAUUCCGCGCCGACAAUGUAGCGGGGCUCAAGCGUACCGCCGAAGUCGUGUCAUUGCAGCAACAAGCCCCAACGGGUGCUGUGAUGGGUAGGGGAGCGUCGUGUGCCGGGUGAAGCAGCGCCGGAAGGCAGUUGUGGACGGUUCACGAGUGAGAAUGCAGGCAUGAGUAGCGAUUCACACGUGAGAAACGUGUGCGCCGAUUGACUAAGGGUUCCUGGGUCAAGCUGAUCUGCCCAGGGUAAGUCGGGACCUAAGGCGAGGCCGACAGGCGUAGUCGAUGGAUAACCGGUUGAUAUUCCGGUACCCGCUGUGAAGCGUCAAACAUCGA